AGCCGUGUAAUAAACACAGAGCGAACUAUUCUUUCGCCUUUUACUAAAGAAUACCGUGUGUUUGUUACUUCAAGCGGCAUAUCCUAAUUUUUUUUAAAGGGUCUAUUUCCAAAGACUCU
rfam:Cajanus cajan Scaffold000305_9, whole genome shotgun sequence.